GAGCGCGUGUAGCAAUACACGAGCGGCAGACGGGAGAGUAACACGUGGGAACGUACCCUUCGGUUCGGAAUAACCCCAGGGAAACUUGGAUUAAUACCGGAUACGUCCGAAAGGAGAAAGAUUUAUCGCCGAAGGAUCGGCCCGCGGCUGAUUAGCUAGUUGGUGAGGUAACGGCUCACCAAGGCGACGAUCGGUAGCUGGUCUGAGAGGAUGAUCAGCCUCACUGGGACUGAGACACGGCCCAGACUCCUACGGGAGGCAGCAGUGGGGAAUAUUGGACAAUGGGCGCAAGCCUGAUCCAGCCAUGCCGCGUGGGUGAUGAAGGCCCUAGGGUUGUAAAGCCCUUUCGGCGGGGAAGAUAAUGACGGUACCGCAAGAAUAAGCCCCGGCUAACUUCGUG
rnacentral:rRNA from 1 species